CGCCCGCCAGCGCGCCGGGCUGCAGCGCGCGCGCCGCCGCGAUCGACGCGCCGAUGUCGAAGGCGAGGGUCGUCGUGCCGUUCGCGUUGACGGUGCGCGUC
rnacentral:tRNA from 1 species